CCCCUUGGUAUUCCGGGGGGCAUGCCUGUUCGAGCGUCAUUU
rnacentral:rRNA from 2 species